rnacentral:lncRNA from 1 species
GCAUCAUCCAUAGAAAUAUAGGCUGGUGGUGUGCAAGAGUAGAUUCAGUAUAUAUCGAGAGAGUAUAUUGGAUAGGUUUAGGAACAUUGAAUUGGCAUUUUUCCAUCGAUUCGUUGAAUUUGUGAAAUUAGGGUUUUUAAUAGUCAAUUGGGGAUUCGAGAUCCUAAUGAUUGUAUUUCAAUUUAUUUCUAUACAUUAACUUCCAAAAAUUGUGUAUUUACAUUUUAAUUGAGUUUUUGAGUCAUUCAAUUAGUGAAAUUUCGAAAUUAGGGUUUCCAAUUUCGAAAUUAGGGUUUCAAAUUGGGGAUUUCUCCCACAAUUAGGGGUUUUCACAUUUAAAUCAAAUUUUCAUUCAAUUAGAUUCGGUUAAGGUCACAUUAGUCUAAUUAGAGCUAAUUCAAUCCUCGUGGGAACGAUACUUGGACUCAUAGUCCAUUU